rnacentral:rRNA from 1 species
UACUACGGGAGGCAGCAGUGGGGAAUCUUGGACAAUGGGGGCAACCCUGAUCCAGCCAUGCCGCGUGAGUGAUGAAGGCCUUAGGGUCGUAAAGCUCUUUCGCCUGUGAAGAUAAUGACGGUAGCAGGUAAAGAAACCCCGGCUAACUCCGUGCCAGCAGCCGCGGUAAUACGGAGGGGGUUAGCGUUGUUCGGAAUUACUGGGCGUAAAGCGCACGUAGGCGGAUCGGAAAGUUGGGGGUGAAAUCCCGGGGCUCAACCCCGGAACUGCCUCCAAAACUAUCGGUCUAGAGUUCGAGAGAGGUGAGUGGAAUUCCGAGUGUAGAGGUGAAAUUCGUAGAUAUUCGGAGGAACACCAGUGGCGAAGGCGGCUCACUGGCUCGAUACUGACGCUGAGGUGCGAAAGUGUGGGGAGCAAACAGGAUUAGAUACCCUGGUAGUCCACACCGUAAACGAUGAAUGCCAGUCGUCGGGUAGCAUGCUAUUCGGUGACACACCUAACGGAUUAAGCAUUCCGCCU